rnacentral:rRNA from 1 species
GAUGAACGCUGGCGGCGUGCCUAAUACAUGCAAGUCGAGCGAACGGACGAGAAGCUUGCUUCUCUGAUGUUAGCGGCGGACGGGUGAGUAACACGUGGAUAACCUACCUAUAAGACUGGGAUAACUUCGGGAAACCGGAGCUAAUACCGGAUGAUAUUUUGAACCGCAUGGUUCAAAAGUGAAAGACGGUCUUGCUGUCACUUAUAGAUGGAUCCGCGCUGCAUUAGCUAGUUGGUAAGGUAACGGCUUACCAAGGCAACGAUGCAUAGCCGACCUGAGAGGGUGAUCGGCCACACUGGAACUGAGACACGGUCCAGACUCCUACGGGAGGCAGCAGUAGGGAAUCUUCCGCAAUGGGCGAAAGCCUGACGGAGCAACGCCGCGUGAGUGAUGAGGGUCUUCGGAUCGCAAAACUCUGUUAUUAGGGAAGAACAUAUGUGUAAGUAACUGUGCACAUCUUGACGGUACCUAAUCAGAAAGCCACGGCUAACUACGUG